rnacentral:rRNA from 1 species
GACGAACGCUGGCGGCAUGCCUAAUACAUGCAAGUCGAGCGAACAGAUGAAGUGCUUGCGCUUCUGACGUUAGCGGCGAACGGGUGAGUAACACGUAAGGAAUCUACCUAUAAGCGGGGGAUAACAUUCGGAAACGGGUGCUAAUACCGCAUAAUAUCUUCUUCCGCAUGGAAGAAGAUUGAAAGACGGCCAUGCUGUCACUUAUAGAUGACCUUGCGGUGCAUUAGUUAGUUGGUGGGGUAAUGGCCUACCAAGACGAUGAUGCAUAGCCGACCCGAGAGGGUGAUCGGCCACAUUGGGACUGAGACACGGCCCAAACUCCUACGGGAGGCAGCAGUAGGGAAUCUUCCGCAAUGGGCGAAAGCCUGACGGAGCAAUGCCGCGUGAGUGAAGAAGGCCUUCGGGUCGUAAAACUCUGUUAUAAGAGAAGAACAAAUUGUAGAGUAACUGCUACAGUCUUGACGGUAUCUUAUCAGAAAGCCACGGCUAACUACGUGCCAGCAGCCGCGGUAA